UUUGGGAUCAAUUCCUAUAGCUUUUAUUGAUAGUAUUACGUUAUUUUUGGUUAGAUUCGAGCCUUUCAGAGAUUGAUACGCGUGGGGAGGGCUUGCUAGCGGAGUGAUUUAAUUUGUUUGAGAUCUAGGUGUGGGGACUAGUUAUCAGCAGUAGGUUGCUUGUGGACUAUCUGCUAGAGGUGAGGUAGAGCUGCAUCCUUGGUCGCAGUUUGACUUGUCUUUUCCUUCAUACUGUUGUUAUAGUUCAGACAGUGUAUUUAUUAUUCAAUUUCAGACUUGUAUUCCGUUGUAGUA